rnacentral:rRNA from 1 species
CAUUUGUCUUUUAAAUGAAGACUUGUAUGAACGGCAAAACCUCCUCCAACUGUCUCCCCUCCCAUCCUUCCAAAUUUCCUCCUGUGUGAAGAAGCACAGAUACACCAGAAAGACGAGAAGACCCUGUCGAGCUUUAGCCACUAAGUGGGCCUUACCCNUUCAGGCACCACCCAAAGGUUUUGGUUGGGGCAACCACGGAGAAAAAACAUCCUCCAGAACGAAUAGAAGAAAGCUUUUCACUAUUAUUGCGAUUAAGAACCAGGAACUGGUAUUCGGAAAGAGUUACCGCAGGGAUAACAGCGUCAUCUCCUCUAAGAGUCCUUAUUGACGAGGAGGUUUGCGACCUCGAUGUUGGAUUGGGGCCCCCUUAGGGUGCAGAAGCUCUAAACGGUUAGACUGUUCGUCUAUUAAAGCCCUACAUGAUCUGAGUUCNAAACCGGAGAU